rnacentral:rRNA from 1 species
UGCGUAGGUGGUUUCUUAAGUCAGAGGUGAAAGGCUACGGCUCAACCGUAGUAAGCCUUUGAAACUGGGAAACUUGAGUGCAGGAGAGGAGAGUGGAAUUCCUAGUGUAGCGGUGAAAUGCGUAGAUAUUAGGAGGAACACCAGUUGCGAAGGCGACUCUCUGGACUGUAACUGACACUGAGGCACGAAAGCGUGGGGAGCAAACA